ACUCUCUCAGCCCCACCUACCUCACAAGGUGAGUGUUGUGGGGAGAGAGAGGGAAGCUGGUUUUAAGGCACUUUAAGACUUCUGACAGUA